AUGGGAAUGGGUUCCGUCUACUGCGUUCGAUCCCUGUGUUGGUCGGCCGGCCGACAUGGUCUCACUUUUUCAGGGCAUGUCUGUGGUCACCGUGUGAUGUUACAGCUUCCUCUCGCCUGCGGUCCUGGGACUGUGGCACCUGACCGUUGCUCCAGCCGUGUUCCGUGCAGCCACUGCUGUCAGGUUGAGCAGAAAGGCAUGCAGUCUGAGGAGGGGGAGCGAAACUGUAAUGUCAAGAAUAAAGGGUGGGGCAUCUCACACAGGCAGGAGCCUGGAGAGCGUCUGGUCGUGGGCAGCGGUCGGCCCCAGGGACCGCGUGGUCACGUGAAGCAACCCGACUCGGCGGCAGGGGAUUUCCAGCAGGAGUGCCAUGGCUCGCUGAGGUCAACAGGAAGGAGCUGCAAGCAGAGACUGCCAGUGCUGGUCAUCCCUGCUUGCCUGUGGUCUGGUGCCCAAGCGGGAGCAACCACAGGUUCCGUGUUCCUCCGCGCUGUUUUGGCUUCGCGAUGCGUGUGCCGCACCAGUGAAAUCCAUCGAGUCUUCAUACAGUCACCUGUGCCCUUAUACGGGCGACACGGCCCAAGAGGAAGUGGAACUCUUGCUGUACAGUUUGCCAGCGGAAGUGCCGAGGCCUUCAUCUGCCAACUGGUGCGUGGGGACGCUCGUUCUAAGCGCCACGCUCUCCGGGCGAUGAGGAAGUGGAGGCCGGGUGCAAGUCCUCGGUCUUCACUGGUCUCCGAGGUUAACUAUGGUUAAAAAGACAGCCUUCCUGCGCAAGAUUUCAGAGGAACGAGCCCCGAACGGCACUCGUGACACAACAUGAGCCGUAGGUCCGAAGCUGUCUCACACAUGCAAGUGUGUUGGCGGAACCCCCCGCCCCCCCGGCAUGCUGGGAGACGAGCAGAGCGGUUUACCUGCCAGCUGAACCUUUAGCCCCUACCCCCACCGCACGUGAAUGGAUUCCUCCCACACAGCUCUGCGCCGCUCCACUCAGUUCCUCCUCCCUUUCGUACCCGAGGAACCAGGCCGCAUUUUCUUGUAAGGCUGCUUGGAAAAAAGGAAACCGAUGAAGGAGAACCGGAGCUCAGUCCCCCGCCAGCCCAGCGUAGUUCAUCGUGUAAUUACCACAUUAGGGUAAUUGCUAGUUAGACAACCAUGUGGCGGGAACUCGUCUGUCAUGUAAGCAUAUAUAUAGUAAGUUAUAGUACAAACUCAUGUGUGGGUCCAAACGACUUUGCGCUCUCGCGGCUUGCUGUACAUUCGUGCAUCCUCUCACAGUAAAGUCAUGCCUCCUGCUAACGUAGCUUUUCGGUCCCUAUAUCAAAGUUGUAUGAACACAUUUCUUUAUAAUCGCUGCAGAUUUUGUGUGUGUUUUCGCCGUAACCGGGAAAGGACCGAGGGGGUUUCUGUGUUUCGCUGCCCUGGGCAGUGUGAUAUCUGAGAGAUGAACAAUCGUUGUUUGAGGGGCGGGAGAUGUCGCGUGUUGUUUGUGUGUGCAGUUCCCCAGUGUGUCCCCGUUCAGGGCUCCCCACCGCCAGGAGCCCCUUCCCAUCGCACGUAGCUCCAUCUUGUUGGCUCAGCUUUAAUUAAUCUCUGGUGGAUGGAUGUAGCAGGAUUCAAAAUGGAGGUGCAAAGCAUAAUAUUUACCACAGCGAAAAGCUUAAGACAGUAAUAAAUGCAGGCAUUUAUCAAGUGGAGGCA
ensembl:lncRNA